CAGAGGGUGCAAGCGUUGUUCGGAAUUAUUGGGCGUAAAGGGCGCGUAGGCGGUGCGGUAAGUCUUUUGUGAAAUCUCCGGGCUCAACUCGGAGUCUGCAGGAGAAACUGCCGUGCUUGAGUAUGGGAGAGGUGAGUGGAAUUCCUGGUGUAGCGGUGAAAUGCGUAGAUAUCAGGAGGAACACCUGUGGCGAAAGCGGCUCACUGGACCAUUACUGACGCUGAUGCGCGAAAGCUAGGGGAGCAAACAGGAUUAGAUACCCUGGUAGUCCUAGCCCUAAACGAUGAUUGCUUGGUGUGGCAGGUACCCAAUCCUGCUGUGCCGAAGCUAAACGCGAUAAGCAAUCCGCUGGGGAUACGGUCGCAAGGCUG
rnacentral:rRNA from 1 species